GCGAGCUAGCUACUCCAGCUGCUGGCCGGCCGUCGAAAGAGACCGGAUCACUUUGCCGGAUGAGCAGCGGUGGGAUCGAUCGUGGAUUGUGCGCGCCUCCGUCCGUCCUGCCGACCGGCGCGGCGGCCGCGAGCUUAGAUUUUGGCUGUGCUCCUGCUGGUAGGUACGUUUCCUGUACACUCGGAUAUGUAUAUGGAUAUAUAUAUAGAGCUCUUAAUUGGUUUUGAUUGCUUCCGUUUCUUCUGUUAUUUCUGGAUCUCAAGUUUCUUCCCGGCCGAUCGAUCUCAUAUUGUCAACCCACAUCAUCUACGGUUGGUUCUGACUUCAAUAUUUCGAGCCAUGUUUGAUUUUUUUUUUUGUUCUUCCUCUUCACUGCUCGAUCGACCGGCCAGUUAAUUUAGUCGAACAUACAAAUUAUUAGUCAGAAGUUACAAAGCUAGUCCUUUCCAUAAUAAGCUCGCAUGGAUGAAUUGUUGGGCAGAUCUGCUUUACCAAGUUCUAUUGUACCGAACCCGAACCCCUUAAUUAGGAGGAGACAGUUCCACGUAUACGUGAUGAACUAGCAUAAAUACCCGUGCGUAGCAACAUAUUCUAAAUAAAAUUUUAUGGAUAUAAAUUAAAACCCUAAACCAUAUAUAUCACAAUUGGACUAAUGGAAAUAUAAUCAUAAAAGUACGUAUUACCCCCUGAACUAUCAUGGUCGACCGAAUUACACCCCUGAACCACAAACCAGACAUUCUUCACACUUAACAAUUGAAACCAGACAAAUAACUCCCGGCUCAAUUCGCUGUGGUUUUGGUCCUACGUGGCAGCCCAGUCAGCAAUUGUUUUUAAAAAAAUCGAUGGACCCCACCUGUAAGUUUCUAACCCUCUCUACCUCUCUUUAUUCCCCCUCUCUCUCUCUUCUCCCUGCCACACCUCCCUGACGUGGCCGCGCCGACGUAGUUGCCCGACGGGUAGCCACUGAAACAGGUGGCAAGCGCGCAGCCCAUCGCCGUGGUGCGCCGCCACACCAUCUGCGUAUGGUGCCAGCCAUCGCGGCGCUGCCACUGCGUCGUACGCGCACACUCCCGUGACACCCGAGCUCGCUCCGCCUCCGCCGCCGACCGCCCCAACCCGCACGAGCACCGUCGAGGGCGAGGCAGCAGAGGAGUAGAUCGACGACGAGGGAUGCCAACGGGCGGUGUCCUUUUCUUCCACUUCCUUCGCCUUCUCUCUCUUCUUUUUCUUUUUUUUUUCUUUGGAUUUGUGCAUCCUUCGAUGUGGAACGAGCCGGCGAAGAAAAGGGGGGGGAGGGGGGGGGCGAGCCAGGGGAGCGCAGGAGUGGGAGGUGGGCAGCGGUGGCGAUGGCAGCAGCCACGGCGGUGACCACCUCCAUGCCCUCAUGCGGAAGGCGUCGACGACGGCGGCGAGCGAGAGCGCGCGCGUGGUGUGGGAGGCCUUGUGGAGGAAGAUGAGGGGCAGCGCGAUGUGGGGGUUUAGCUCGGACUCUAGGUCCGCAUGCACAAUGAGGUUGCGCUCGACAACACCAGCCGCCUCGCCGCCAUUACGUCCGCGACCUGGAGCCAGCCGACCAACAUCGCGGAUUUGUACUACUGUUGGUGACCGGUGAGGCGGUGAUCUCUCGCGUUGGGUUUUUGCGGCCGACCACGCUCCACCGCCGCGCGUCCUCGCCGCCUCGCUCCAUGUCUCACUGCCCUCGCCGCCGCCGCCAUCGGAGCCGGCCGAGCGCUACCCCGGCGUGUAAUACGUCGCUUCCUUGUUGGGCGACCCACCCACCGCCUGCAGCUGCCUCUGCCCCAUCCAGCCGUUGUCCUCGGCUCCUCGCUCGCCGUUCGUAGCUGCCUCCACCCCCUCCUGCCGCCGUCCUUCGUGCCCGUCGCCCUGUCUCCACGCUCGCCGGCCGCCGUCCUCCGCCCCCGCCCGUCGGCGGCCUCGGUUCCUAGCCCGCCACCCGCAGCCGCCCCGCCCGCCUCAGCUUCUCGCCCGCCACCCGCGCUCGGCCGCCUCUGUUCACCGAGAGAGAGGCAGAGAAGGAGGAGAGAAAAAUAGAUGUGCUGACAGGUGGGCCCUACCAUUUUUUAAUUUGUUUUUGCUGACUGUAUCACCACGUGUGUGCCACGUAGGCUAAAAACCGUUUCAAAUCGAGUUAGGGUGGUAAUUUAUCUAUUUUUAAGAGUUUAGGGUGUCAAAUGUCCGGUAUUUUAGUUUAGGGGGGAAAUUGUACUACCGCAAUAGUUUUUUUUUUUUGGUGGGGGGGGGGGCUGCGGGGGGCUAAUUCGUACUUUUUCCUAUACAUAACAACAUGAAACUACAAGUAACUUUAGCUGGAAUAAUAAUUCAAUAUCAAAAAAAUUAUAUAACUAAAUCUGUUUUUUUAGCUAUAAAUAAUUCAAUAUAGAGAAAAAUUAUAAGUUACAAAAUUUUUAAUGGAUCAAAUAAUGCUAAAACUAAUACUGCAAAUGGAAAAACAAACUGAAAAUCCGAUCCAUUAAUCUGAAUAGGUACCCUUUUCAUUGACAUAAAUUAGACUUUUCCUGUUCUGUUCAUAUUCCUAUGGGUUCAAUAUUAUGUGAGUUGUCCAAGAGCAUGAUUGGGCUAGACUAGGAAGGAACAGUGCCUUCGUCUAUAGAUGGUGGAGGUUGGCAACGAAAAAAAAUCAGAACAACAUGAAUGCGGCUGACAACGAUGUGGUACCGAUAGAGAUAUAAAUGGCAACGUACCGAUAGAGAUACAACGACGAGCUCUGAUGGUGAACACGACCAGAUGAGUGCAUCAAAACACGUUCCUGGAUGAGGGGGUUCCAUUUUCCUUGAGCGCGUAGAAAGAACGAUAGAUGGAGAAAAAAAUGAUUAACACUGUUUAUCGUCUUCCCUAGCCGAAACAAUAAACAUAAGAGGAGGGAAGAUGGGCACCUGUCCUCCGGCGACCGAACAACGGUGUGUAAGGUGGCCGGACGUAUCCCAUAACGUGCCUCGUCCAUAGAUGUUGGCGGUUGGCAAUGAAGAAAACCAGAAUAUCAUGAAAAACAAUGAUGUGGUCCUGAUAGAGUGAGAAAUGGCAACAGCGAGCUCUAUUGGUGAACACAACCGAUGAGUUCGUCAAAAGGUGUUCCCGGAUGAGGGGAUUCCGGUUUCCUUGAACGUGCAGGAAGAACAAAAGAUGGAGAAAAAUUACUAACGCUGUUCAUCGCCUACCCUAGCUGAAACAAAACAACAGAAGAGGAGUGAAGUUGGGUGCCCAUUCUCCCGCGACCAAAUGGUAGUGAGUAAGGUGGCCGUAUGUGUCUCACGAUAUGACACAUCUAUAGAUGGUGGCCGUUGGUAACGAAGAAAACCAGAUAGCGGGAACGCGACCGGCAACAACGUUGUCCUGCAAAACGGCAACAACGAGGUCUGGUAGUGAACACGGCCAAGUGAGAGCGUCAAAACAUAUUCCUAGACGUGGGGGUUCCAUUUUUAUUGAACGCGCAUGAGGGAGGGAGGGUAGGGGAAAGGGGCGCUAGGAGGAUGGGGUGAUAGGGAGGAGGGGUGCCAGAGAGGAGAGGGGCUGCGGGGAAAGGGGGAGCGCGUGCAGCAGGGUAGGAUUGGACGAUGUUAUGGGAUCAGGAGAGAAAGAUGGGGUUGCGACGGGAGGAAGGGAGGGAGGAAGGAGCGCGGCCGUGGGGGAUGGGGAGGACAGACGAAAUUGGGUCCAGAAGCUUUACGUAUUUUUUUAGUUAGAUAUAGAUAUUAAUUAUUUUGAUAUGACACACCCUUCUCACAAAAUUAAUCUCAGGAUUUUUUGGAUUUCAAACAUGUUUUUUUUGUGACACCAAUCAUUUUUAUUAUUAAUAUAGUAAAUUCAAUAAAACUACCUUUAUAUUUUAGUAAAGUUAUGAAAGCAAAUAUAUAAAUUUAACUUGUUAUAUGACAAAACAAUAUUUUCAAGGCUAAACUUAUCACAAAAUUACAUAUUUAGAACAUCAUCAUCAAUAGAAAAAUAACAAAAGACAUAACAUGCAAUAAUAUGCCUCAAUGUCUUAUACAUAGUGAAGCUAGGUCACAACACAUUAAAUGCUAAAGUUUGCUAUAAGCUUGUGGCUCGGCUACAAUGUUUUUAAAAGCGGUACACGGUUUCAAUGUCUUAUACAUCGUGAAGCUAGCUAGAUUACAACACACUAAAUGCUAAAGUUUGCCAUGAGCUUAUGGCUCACUUGUUAUUGAAAAGCGGUACACACUUUCGUGUGGUCACCUCACCAGCUUGUAGCGCUUAAGCAGCAUAAUAGAAUGCUUAUGCGACUUAACCGGUAUAAGGUUGGGGCACCCGUUUCUUGUAUACAACCUUGGUAGACUUUUUGUUGGGUUCGCGUCUUCUGCUAUUAGGGAGUAAAUAGUAGAUGCAAACAGUAAAAUGUCAUGUGUGAUACAGUGUUUUACUAUAGCUACCGUAGAAAUCACUGUAGAAACAGUGAAAAGUACCAUCUAAUCAUUAUAUUAGAAUGACCGUAGCAAUUAAUCUCGUGCAUCCAAAUUUAAUCCAAUGGCUAUGAAUAGUAAUGGCAUGGAUCAUUGUAGUUCUUGAUCAUUCCAGAUGGAAUGGCAGAGGAUACGAUCCCCUCAAGCAUUGAGUGGCUAUAGAUGGUGGGGUCACAAGCACCACGUAGGCCUCUUAUAAGACGAGUAUCACACAACUAAAACUCUAAUAUGUAUUGAUUUAAUUACAAAACUACAGAUUAAUUGAAAAAACUUGGUUUUAUCACAAAAUUAUUGAUUUUAAAGCCUCCGUUAAGACAAGAAUAUAAUGUCAGUAUGAAUCAUAUUGUUUUACGAUAAAUUAUACACUACAUCUUAAGCUUUGCGAUACUAUGUUUUAUACAUUAUAAAUUUAACGUUAAUAGCGUAGUUAUGCCACACCACUUAAAUAUGUAGUACUAUCACACUUUUGUCAAACUAGGAAGGUAGCCCGUGCAUUCACGCGGACAUGCAUCUUAAGAUGUGUUUGAGAUACUUAUAGUUAUAAGGAUGGAAUAUUUACCGUAGAAAACCAUCACGCUUUGAAAACAAUUUCUCUGUGCAUUUUUUUGUCAUCAUUGCCUGUAAUUUGAUUAAUCCCCAUAAGAAGAAGGAAAACUUACUUUGUUUUAAAAAAUAUAUCUAAAAAAUUAAGUGUAAAUUAAAAAUAAUGUACUUCUUGUUUUUAAAUUGAAUGUUAGCGGACAUUUUUCUAAAUUUUUUUAAAACUAUUAUCCCUAACAAAUGUGUUCUAUUUGUACCAUCAAGCUAGACCUCCUUUUAUUUGGUUUAUAUUGAUGCAAUUUGUUACAUACUUACAUAUGAAUCAAUAAACAUAGAGGAGAUAUACAUAUCCUAGGUCUUGCUUCCCUAUGAUAUAUGUAUUCUAUGGUGUUUUUUUUUAAAAAAAAAACUAAUCAACAUGAAUCUUGAAAUUGAAAUCUAAUAGUAAGAAAUAUAAAUUUUAAACCAACUAUAUACUGCUACCUUAGUGUAACUUAUAUAUGCAAUAAUUUUUGGAGAAAUUCAUAAUGCCUUGGCGUAGGAUAGAGAAAAAUUCAUUAAUAUCGGAGCACUUAAAUAUAUUUUUGCAUGCAUUAUUAUUUUUUGAAGUGUGGUGUAUUAUUAAUGCACGCUUGAAUAGCUAUCCAUAAUAUACUAAAAAGUGCAUUAAAUACUAUCUAAAGUUGAUUAGAUUGUAAUAUAAUAUAGUUUAGAGCACUUACACAAAAGAUCAUUUGUCUUGCUCAAAUUAUUUGAACAUACUAAUUUCGUGAAAAUUAUGAAGGCACCCGAUUUUUAUGCAGUGGUUUAGACUAUCUAUAUAUGAGUUAGUUUUUUUACUUAAUUUAGCUAUGCAUGUUUGCAAAACAAUGUAUGCAAGUGCAACAUGUGUUGUUGAAUUAUUUUGUAUUUUUUAAUUGUAAUUCGGUUGACAUGUAAAAGACCAAUGGUGUGUGUUCCUUGUAAUAUCCCGGGUUUUAGCUAUAGUCUUAGUUACGCUAAUGACUUGAUCACACUGGCUGAGAGCGGUGUUGAUUGAGCCACGAUGCUGGCUAGUACCUAUAAAUAUAUAAAUAUGUUGGUUGUUGUUCUAUUAUGGAUCUUAAAUGAUUUUUCGAUCGUUUCCUUGUCCUUCAUUUUUCAAGCCAUAUCCAUAUGCAUCAUUGAUUUAUUGUUAGUUAGACUAAAUCACCGGGAUAAUUUAGUUUUGGUUAAACUAUGGCAUAGAUUAGUCGUCACGAAGUGAGGUACACAUGUGCACAGUAGAAAUCACACCAUUCUUUAUUUACAAAUUACAGGUCUGCAUAUAUACAUGCAUAUAAUUAUGCAGUAGAAAUCUUAUACACUAGAAAAAUCUUAUACAGUAUGCAUCUCAUAUAUUGUGCAUAUACAUGGUGCUUAUAGUAUCAUAUCAUAAACUGAACCAUCCCAGUCAAAGAUUCAAUUAAUUAUUUAUUCAGAAAAACUCUUGAGUUCUAGGGCAAUUACAAAUCAGUCCCUAAUCUCAAAGCAACCUUCAAUAUUAGAGACUCUGAGGGACUCAAGUGCAAAAGUACCUAAUUAUAUCAGACUAUCUAAUAAAAAAAAUUAGUGAAACCCUACAAUACUCCACCGAUCAAGCACUGCAUAGGUGUCAAAGCUAGGAGCAGCCAUCUAGCCCAAGUAGGUGAGUCACUUAGCUUUCACUAAAAAUUCCCACAUAUAUUAACUCAGCUAUCUGUGAACCAGCCUCGGUUUGGUCGUGCAGAUCAGCAUAGGCAGCAAGCAGUGGCAGUAGUAGUAGCAACAGCAAGAGCACAGCCAUGUCGCAGCAGCCUCAGCCGCAACAGCAGUAGCAGCAAGCAGUUCGUAUGCAAAACCAUCUCAAAAGAGAGAGAUAGCAGAGCAGUAGCUAGUAAUCCGGCACCACAGUUACACCAAAUCUCAAUAGCAGCAGCCAUAGAAAAACAACCAGGGUGAGAGAGUAGAAGGAAAAGAAAGGGGAUGCAUGUGUUUCAAGAAGAGCAAGGGGUUUCAAUUUAAAGAGGAGAAACAAGUAGCAGAUCCGGAAGGGCAGCAGUAAACAAGAGGAGGAGCAACACCCUGACCAAUUUCAAAAGAAGCUGUAGAACCAGAGGAGAGUCACACGGUCAUUAGUCUUCCACAGCCACAGUAGAACCAUCAAAUAAGGUAAUCUGGAAAAAGAAUUAGAAUGAGAGGGAAAUCACAUCAUGUCAUGAUUCUUGGUUGAUGCAUAUAUUAGUAUGUUUAGGAGUUGUGUGCACGCACUUAGUUAUAUGCAUUAAACCUGAAAAAUGAACCUCAGGAGAUGGCAGCUAUGUUGAUCUGUGCAUAUACUAGUAUGUGUAGGCCUUGGGUGUUGCAUUUGCAUCCAUUAGAAGCUGAACCAGAACAUCUCUGAUUCAGUAAAAUAUUCACAUUAAUAGUUUGAUCUUCAGAACGGUUUGUGUAACUAAAAUUUUACUAUAGAUAAACAGGUGCUCAGGUGAUAAAUCAAGAAACAGUAGAAUGUAUAUAAAGAUAUCAUCAGUCUUAUGUCUUUAUCAAAUUUAGUAACUGCAGAUCUUUAUUCAUAGUACAAAUAUUGAUAUUCUUGACAUAUAGAUAAAAUCAGAUUUUAGAUUUAGCCAUGGACUUGGAAAUUAGUAUCUGAACCCUAGCACAUAUUCAAUUUAUCAUGAAACAUAAGGACCAUAACAACUCUAUCAAUUAGGCUAGUUCAAUUAGUAAACAGUAGUAUAUAUUUUAGAUUGUAUAGAAUCACCAUAUAAUUGGAUUUAGGGUGAAACAUUCAUUUAUAUAUAAUACCAAGUUCAGGAAGCACUGGUAUUUCAGAUUAAAAUAUAGAAGAUCAUGUAGCAGCAGGUUUUAGUAAAAAGAAUAGAACUGAGCAAUUAAGGAUACCAAACAGAAAACCAUAGGUUCUUACAGAAAAUAAUCUAGAGAAGAGGUUAGAGCAUAGCAUCUGAAUCAAGUGGAUAUGUAUAUAAUUAGUUGACCAAUAGUUUAAUCCAUGUCCUCAUCAACCACUGUAAUUAAAUAAUGUAUAAAUUUGGUUAUUAAUCACACAAGCAUAUAGAGAUGAAAAUCUGGACACUAGUAAUAUCAAGGAUAAACAAUGCAUGAGUUUACUAAUUCUAUGGGAUUUAUAUGUGUAAUAUGUGCAUAUGUAUAUCUUCAUUUUUUUCAGUUUAAGUGCAAAAUUAGUAGUAGCUUAUGAAUUAUCAGGAAGCAGUAAUAUCCAUAGGGACUUGAUCAUGUUAGUGUGCUUUUAAUUUCAGUCCUGCAUUUUCAUAAGAUAUAUUCAUAUGAGCAUUCAUUCAUCAUGGGCAUACAGGCAUCAUCCAAUCUAGCAAAUGAAUUGAUCUAGAACCCUAAAACUAGUAAAUACAAUCAAUAGCAUAGAGUCAUCAAGUUGAUCAUUAGGAUUAGUCUCCAAGUAUCAUCAGUGCAUCACAACCAUAAAUCAUAAGGGAAAGAACACCUUACCAGUAUAACACACUAGAGAUCAGGGAAAAGGAGAUAGAAGGGAGGAAUCGAAGUGGUAGCAGCGGUAGGGGCCUGGGAACUUCCUCUGAAUCCUUACCUCGCCGGAGUUUUGCCGGCGGCUGCAUUUAGGAUUGAGGAGGUUGGAAGUUAGGUUUAGCUUAGGGGCAGAGAAGCGUGGAGCCAAGAAACCGAUUCGCGGCUGCGGGACAUCUGCUUGAGGGGUCGCCGGAGUGGGGCGCGGUAGCCGGCGCUAGGGAGAGUGGCGGCGUCGCCGGCGCUGCCUAGGAAGCGGCGGCACUGGAAAGAACGUGGGGGAGAGAAGGGGAGAACGAGGAGAAAAAAAAGAGAAGAGGAAGAAGGUGGUGUAGUGGGCUUUUCUGUUGGGCUUCUACAUGUGGGCUGUAUAUAUGAGUACUAUUGAAUUUAAUUAUUAUUGAUUAUUGAAUAUAAAUCUAAAGUAAAACUUCUUUCAAUUAAAAUAAUUACUCUUUUAAAAAUAAAAAGUGCAAUGAUGUUUGUUUUAACACUAAAUAUGUUAGUGCAAAACUAAAUUAUGUUAUAUAAAUCAUAGAUCGUUACCAAAUCAAAACAUACAAAUAUAUUUAACCAUAUUCAACUUAAAAAUAAAUAUGGGUCAUCUAGUUGAGUCUUGAGGUGAGAGUCGAUAACCUAUAGUGUUGUAGAUCAGCUGUAAUAUUAGGGUUAGGUAUAUCAUGUGCAUCAUACUAAUAUCUACAUUCUUGGUUUUAGUUCUAAUUUGCCAUAUUUUUACAGAUGAAUAUUUAUCUUGGAUUUCAUCGAAUUCUUCAUUGAUUUAUUCGUUCUUCGAUUUCGGGUAUCUCAGGCAAGUCCAACACCUUUGAUCAACUCUUGUUAUAUUUUUAUAAUUGCAAUCUAUAUGUAUCACCUUGCAUUAAAUUAUAUUUUCUAUAAUUGAAAUAAAUAUGCUGAUGGAUUGGAUUGACUGGUGGAGCAGUCGGUCAUAUUAUAGAUGUAUUCUGAACCUGCUAUGGUGGUGGGGUUUCGGUUGCACAUAUUUAUCAUCAUAAGGUUAAAUAAUAACUGUUAUAUGGCAUUCAAGCGUCGUAGCGAUCGUGUCGACCAUAUGACCUGGAAUGGGACAUGCUGGCUUAGUAGUUCUUUCUUAAUGGUUUUAUCCUGCGGCUUAAGGACUUCCGCGAAUCCUGUGAGCGUGGGCUAGCGAUGAGGGUUGCCGUUGUUGCGGAAUCCGAUUAGAUGAUGUGGAUCGCCGUUGUUGCGGGAUCCGAUGAUUCGCCGUUGUUGCGGGAAUCACCCGCAGAGAUUAUUGCCAGAUGGGAUUGAUGAAAAGCUUGUGACCUUAGCCUUGCCGGCAUACACCAUGAAGUGUGCUUCAAGCGCCGACGGGCGUGGGCAUUAAAAGGUUUAAGGCGUCUGUGGGUACAGCGACACACCUCUGCAGAGUGUAUGAAUUGUGAUAUGUCACUCCCUGUUUCGGGUAGAAACUGCGAACACGGCAGGAAAGGAACCUAUCGGAGGUUCUAAUACCUGUGGUGCCUUAUAUACAGUAGAUUUUAUAAUUACUUAAUAUGAGUUUUUACAACACUGUUUUAUGAACAUGCAUAAAAUUCCUUGUUGGAUUAUGGUGGCUUUGGACAUAUAUGUAUUAUACAGGUGGAUUAUGGGCAUGUAUUUGUUGGAUUGCUGUAGUUGGACUUGUUGAGUACCAUUCGUACUCAUCCCCUAUAUAUAUUAUUCCUUGUAGUGUUGAGCUAACAAUUAGGUGGAGAAAUGUUCUACAUGAUUGAUCAAGAUCAAAGCAAAGAAUCGUUCCAUAUUUCUACAUCAACUGAGAGUUGAAGGUGACGAAGGUAUAGAGUAGCAAGGUACUGUUAGUGCUUAUUUUGACAAAAAGUUAUUUUUUUAUGGUUUUAUUUAAUGGGUUUCGCUACAAUUGUUUCUGCUAUGCUACUCUGGUGUGCCCAUUUCUCGGUAAGUUAAUUCUUACUAAGGAAUGAGCCGUAGACCGGUAUUCUACCUCGGAAGUGGAAUACGAGGGUCGCUACAUUCCUCUAAAUUUUUUAUUCAAUGGCUUGGACUAUUUACAUGUGAGCUAUUUUUUCUUAGUCAUUGUAUAUCUAAUUUGGUUUUGCGUGUUUGUAAAAAUAAUAUAUGAUAGUGCAACCUGUGUUGUUGAAUUGUUUCAUCGUUUUUUAUCAUUUGGAUGACAUGCAAAAGUAGAAGGGUGUUUUCCAUCAACAAAAAUUAAUGUUUCAUACUUGGAUUUAUAAUUUUUUUUGCAUAAAAUUCGUAGAGUUUAGCCAUGUAUGUUUGUAUACUGGCGUAUAAUGACGUAAUAUAUGUUGACAACUUAUUAUAAUAUUUUGGUGCUAUUUGGAUUACACGCCAAGUGCAUGGGUCAACUAUGCCCAAAUUUUAUAUUUCUUAUAUGGUAUAAUAUAGGCACAUGAACCUUAUAUUACUGGUUUGACUCCAACAAUUGAAUUAGAAAUCAGACGUAUAACUUAUAAUUGUAAUUAUUGAUUGUUUCUUACAGUUUGAUAGCUAAAACAAAUGAGGCCAGGAAUGAAGAGCAUAGGCUCCAGCCACAGAGGGAAAAGAAAGGUUGAGGAGUGCUUUGCGCAGAUUGGGGGGACUCUCUUUUUCUAAAUGAUUUAGUUGAUGACCAAAUGUUUUUUUUCUCAGAUUACUAUAUUUGUUUUUUAAUUUUUAAGGCGUGACAUAUCACAGGUUAUGAUUUUUCAAUAAGUAGAUUUAAUGGCUGAAAAAAAAUUUAAGUGAAAACCGAUGAUAAGAUGUUUUGUGCUUUCCUUUUAAUUUCUAAGUUUUUUCUAAUUUUCAAAUGUGACAUAUGGUGACUUAAUAGCGCUAUGACACAUAGUGACUCCAUAUUUUUCUAAUUUAUACUCCCUCCAUUUAGUCACAUUUCAGAAAAUCGAUUUUACAGUUUUGAUCAUCCCAUUUGUGUCGGUCUUCUUGGUUCCCACACGCGCGUCGAUUAAGUUUUCUCGCGGAGUUAAUUCGCCCUCAAGAGAUCAAUCGCUCCUUCCUUUUCUACCGUGCGAGGCAACAGAUUCGUUUUUCACCACGCGGCAACCGCCUCCUAUUUGUUUAUCGCGGUCGCA
rnacentral:lncRNA from 1 species